rnacentral:rRNA from 1 species
AUGUGCCCGGCGAGGAUUUCUGUGCUGCGCCUCAGCAUUCUCCCUCUCUCCCUCUGCUUCCUUCCUCCCUGCUCAGCGUGCUCGCUCUCGCCCCCGCACCACUUCCCUUCGUGCGUCUCACCGGUGACCAUGGCCAAGGAGAAGACGGCGGCGCUGGAGCGUGCCAAGAAGGCGUCGGCAUCGGAGAAGGCGAAGGGGAGAUCCACCAGCCGCAGAGGGUCCUCGUCCAGAUCCCGCCUGCCGAAAGGCUGGGUCCAAGGAGACUGGAUCCAGUCGACCAUCACGGAGAAGGACCUCCUCGACAUGGCCGACGAGGGCUUGAUCCCUCACGGAGCUGCGAGGUUGCCGGGGAAGGAGUGGCAGCCACAGCCAGAAGAGGGUGAGUGUGUGCUUUUGGCCACUCAUGUUGAUCGUGGGUUUUCCUUGCCCCCAAGCAUUUUCUUCCGAGGCUUCUUGAAUUUCUUUGGAGCGCAGCUCCACCACUUUACCCCAAACUCCAUUGCCUAUCUUGCUGGAUUCGUGUCCAUGUGUGAGGGUUUCUUGGGCUGUCGACCGCACUGGGGUUUGUUCAAACGUAUCUUCACGUGUCGCUCUCAGACCGUGAAGAAGGCGAGCCCAGGUGAUGAGAAGACCCGAGUCGUCCAAAUGUGUGGGGGCCUGGGGAUUCAGGUGAGGAAUAAUAGCACCUUCCCGCCCAUGAGCUUUCCCGAGUCCGUCAGAGGCUGGCAGUCGACUUGGUUCUACUGCCAGGUCCAGUCGACGCCAGGGCAGUCGAGUGGACUCCCUCCGUUUACCAUGGACCGAGUGAACAAGCCCUCCCCUCUGAAGCUGAUUCCGGAGGAGAAAGCCGACGUGAAGAUGUUGAUGGAGCGCGUGGUGCAGUUGGUUCGGGAGGGGGUGACGGGUAUGGAUCUUCUGGAGGUCUUCCUCAGGCGUCGCAUCCAACCCCUUCAAUUCCGGAGCCACUACAUGUGGUUGUACUGUGGGCCCGAAGACGAGACUAGAGUCCAUCCAGAAGAAGUCGACGAUGUCGCUCUGGAAAGAUGGAUGGUAGCCGUUACCGGAAACAGGGACAACCCGCGCGGAGCCAGAAGGAUUCCUCCACUCGACCACAACAGCGACCCAAACAAGGUACACUUGCUCUGCCCUCCACUGAGUCCUUGUCGUAUUCAUUUCUGUUAA